rnacentral:ribozyme from 1 species
GAAUGAAUGGAGGAAAAGAAAACGAAGAGGAAAAAAAUGGCUGCUUCUUCUACUUCCUUCUACUUGUGCUGCUACUUUGUCUUUGCCUUUUAUUUCCCCGUUCCUCGUU